rnacentral:snRNA from 1 species
AGCUUUGCGCAGUGGCAGUAUCAUAGCUAAUGAGGUUAAUCCGAAGCGUGAUUAUUGCUAGUUGAAAACUUUUCCCAAUACCCCGCCUUGACGGCUUGAAAUAUAGUCGGCAUUGGCAAUUUUUGACAGUCUCUUGUGAGA